CCUACGGGAGGCAGCAGUAGGGAAUCUUCCACAAUGGGCGAAAGCCUGAUGGAGCAACGCCGCGUGAGUGAUGAAGGCCUUCGGGUUGUAAAACUCUGUCAUUCGGGACGAACCGGAGUCUGAGGAAAUGCAGACUCUCUGACGGUACCGGAGGAGGAAGCCCCGGCUAACUACGUGCCAGCAGCCGCGGUAAUACGUAGGGGGCAAGCGUUGUCCGGAUUCACUGGGCGUAAAGCGCGCGCAGGCGGUGAUGUAAGUCUGAGGUGAAAACCCGAAGCUCAACUUCGGGACUGCCUUGGAUACUGCGUCACUUGAGGAUAGGAGAGGCAAGGGGAAUUCCACGUGUAGCGGUGAAAUGCGUAGAGAUGUGGAGGAACACCUGUGGCGAAGGCGCCUUGCUGGCCUAUUUCUGACGCUGAGGCGCGAAAGCGUGGGGAGCAAACAGGAUUAGAUACCCUGGUAGUCCACGCUGUAAACGAUGAGUGCUAGGUGUAGGUGGGCUCAUACCCAUCUGUGCCGAAGCUAACGCAUUAAGCACUCCGCCUGGGGAGUCGGUCGCAAGCUGAAACUUAAGGAAUUGACGGCGNGAGAGNGCGAGGNGACACGAGGGAGAGG
rnacentral:rRNA from 1 species